UUGGAUUUUGAGUGCUGCUAUUUAUUUAGCUCAUUCGUAAUAUAUUAGCAUCUCAAUUUCGUAAUCGGAUUGACUCAGCGUAAUAGACUAUUCGCUGAGGACACUUAGGUGGCCGAGAAAUGAAAUAAAGGAAGCUUCAAAUUCUAUUAGUCAAUUUUAGAUUAGACCUCAGAUCAGGCAGGAUUACCCGCUGAACUUAA
rnacentral:misc_RNA from 1 species